UCAGCAAGCAGCCAGCCAGCCUCCCCUCCCUCCCAGCACCUCACUCAACCCAGCCCUGACGGAGGGGAGGGAGGAGAGAGAGAGGGGUGCUCCUGGGGAGGAGGGAGAAAGGAGGGGGUGCUCCGUGGGGCGGGGGGGAGAAGAAUGGAUGUUAUGGGAGACAACAAAGGAUACUGGUUCCAGAGCCACAGCCUCACCUGACCUCAGCCGGGGGGAAAGAGUCACACUCACAGUACUUCUUUCUAAAGCCAUAAGUGGAUUUACUGGUGAUGGAAAGUACUGGAUUGACAGCCCUAGAAGUUGAAGAACUUUAUUUAUCCACUGAAAAGCUGAAUACACAAACAGAAGGAUGUGCAAACCUCCCCUAUGCUUUCCCAGUGGUGUACCUCUACUCUGUUCUGGAUGAGCCGUCACUCUGCAUUCUCAGUUAAUCAUCCCUACUACCUGCUGAAAUCACAAAUAAAAGGGCUAAUUUG